rnacentral:lncRNA from 1 species
CUCUUGUUCUCUGUGAGUCAGACUUUGGUAGCCUCCUUACUUGCUCCACUUGCUUCAGAGAGAGAAGUGCGGGUUUGCGGUUUAGUGAAGGAGCAAGGCUCAUGUGAAUAGAAGAAUCCAAGGUAGAGCAGGAAGAGAAAUCCAGCUAGAGAAAGAGGUGGAAGUCAAAAUAAGUAGACUCUUAUUUUAAAUUUUUAAUGGCUUCUUGGUGGCUUCAAGAUAAAAGAUAGACAAUGAGGAGCUUUGUGUUUGGGAAAAGAAUAAAAGUCAACUGUAGCAAAACCUCUCAGAAGUAGGAUUUAUAAACAGUUCUCAAAGGAUGCACAUGAAAAUGUAAUUUCUUGGGAAAGUGGCAAACAGAAAAGAAUCAAACCGCAGUUGUGUGUGGCAAGGAUAAAUAUGCAACGCACCAUCAAUAGGAUUUGUUGGGUGAAUAAAAAAGCCUUUUAGCCAACAAUAUGUAAGCAGAAGAAUGGAGCAGGAGUUAGAGAGAACCCUCAAGCAAUAAUGGAGGCCACUGGAGAGGCAAGACUGCCAAAGGCUAAGUUAUUGACCCAGUAUUUUUAAAACUGCCUCCGAAAAGAAGCCUGAACGAAAGAAAAUAAUUUGUGCUAUUAGAAUGUAUUUUUCCUUUGUGUUCCUAUCUACUUCCUUCACAAGCUAUUUUUGGAUGACAGGAUGGAGUCUCCAGCUGUGAAAGUGUUGCUGCAGACAGCCCUCAGCUUCCAGUUCUUGUAAAAAUGGCCUCAGCUUCAGAGAGCUCCAUUACCCAAGCUCAUUCAUUUCCUGGGGUGUUCUGCAUCCAGUGAGUGUUCUGUGGACUUGCCAGUUUCCAGGUUUUAAGGUAUUGCCAGUGAGGCUUUAUGACACCCCAAAACCUGCUUGGUGCACAAGAUGAAACGCCUCUGUAAGACACCUCCUGAAAGAGCAAUCAUUGGAUCAAAGCAUACAGAGUCAUCUUUCAUUGCUUGCAACCAAGACCUCCAGUUAAGGAGCACACAGUUGAGGAGCACACUGUGUCAAUCAAAUAUUGUUUCAUUGCAUUAAAUUGCACUAAACCCUUCCAACUGGUGUGUGAUAGAGGCUUAUCAUCAUCAUUGUAGAGGCAAGAACACUAAGAUUGAAAAUCACAGUGAAGGGCUCAGUGUUUCCCGGCAAGACCAAGCCAGAAUGCAAAUUAGGUGGGAGCAGAGGAUUUAAACUAACAUCAGCAAAGAAGAAAAGCUUAAAUUCAGACUGGGAACAAAUGUGCAUUUGCCUGAGUGUGCCAUAAUCCUGGGAGAACAAUA